UCAUGAGACGACGACGAGACUGCGAAAGACGAAAUGCAGAAUGAAACGCAGAAUGAAAUGAAUGACAAUGAGCUGAAU
rnacentral:rRNA from 14 species